rnacentral:rRNA from 1 species
CCUACGGGGGGCUGCAGUGGGGAAUAUUGGACAAUGGGCGAAAGCCUGAUCCAGCCAUGCCGCGUGUGUGAAGAAGGCCUUCGGGUUGUAAAGCACUUUCAGUGGGGAAGAAAGCCUUGGGGCUAAUACCCUCGAGGAAGGACAUCACCCACAGAAGAAGCACCGGCUAACUCCGUGCCAGCAGCCGCGGUAAUACGGAGGGUGCGUGCGUUAAUCGGAAUUACUGGGCGUAAAGCGCGCGUAGGCGGUCUGAUAAGCCGGUUGUGAAAGCCCCGGGCUCAACCUGGGAACGGCAUCCGGAACUGUCAGGCUAGAGUGCAGGAGAGGAAGGUAGAAUUCCCGGUGUAGCGGUGAAAUGCGUAGAGAUCGGGAGGAAUACCAGUGGCGAAGGCGGCCUUCUGGACUGACACUGACGCUGAGGUGCGAAAGCGUGGGUAGCAAACAGGAUUAGAUACCCGGGUAGUC